GAUUAACGCUAGCGGCAGGCCUAAUACAUGCAAGUCGAACGGCAGCACGGGUAGCAAUACCUGGUGGCGAGUGGCGCACGGGUGCGUAACGCGUAUGCAAUCUACCUAUAACUGGGGAAUAGCCUUCCGAAAGGAAGAUUAAAACCGCAUAAUAUCACGAAGCGGCAUCGUUUUGUGAUCAAAUCUCCGGAGGUUAUAGAUGAGCAUGCGUGACAUUAGCUAGUUGGUGAGGUAACGGCUCACCAAGGCUACGAUGUCUAGGGGGUCG
rnacentral:rRNA from 1 species